UCCGGUUUGUCACCGGCAGUCACCUUAGAGUGCCCAACUGAAUGCUGGCAACUAAGAUCAAGGGUUGCGCUCGUUGCGGGACUUAACCCAACAUCUCACGACACGAGCUGACGACAACCAUGCACCACCUGUCUCUUCGUCUCCCGAAGGAGAAACCUCUAUCUCUAGAGUUUGCGAAGGAUGUCAAGUCCUGGUAAGGUUCUUCGCGUUGCUUCGAAUUAAACCACAUGCUCCACUGCUUGUGCGGGUCCCCGUCAAUUCCUUUGAGUUUCAGCCUUGCGGCCGUACUCCCCAGGCGGAGUGCUUAUUGUGUUAACGUCGGCACUAAGGGUAUUGAAACCCCUAACACCUAGCACUCAUCGUUUACGGCGUGGACUAC
rnacentral:misc_RNA from 1 species